GAGUGAAAUGAUGUUUUCAUCUUUCGGGACUUACUUUGAACUGGUGACAACUUUUUAUACUACUGAUCACUC